rnacentral:rRNA from 1 species
GUCCUCCUGCUCCUUGCCGUCCUCCUCGCGUCCUCCUUGUGCGCCGGCUCCGCGGCGCCGCUGGCGGCCGAGCGGACGCGCCGGAAGGACCCCCUCGACGGGCACCGGCCCUACGCCAGCGGCUGGAACAUCAGCGACCGACACUACAUCGCCUCGGUGGCCUUCAGCGCGGCGCCGGCGUUCGCGGCCGCGGCGGUCUGGCUCGUCGGCUUCGCUCUGGCGGCGCUCGUGGCCUGCUGCUGCCGGUGCUGCCGCGGCAGCCCCACCAGGGACGACGACUACUCCUACUCGCGCAAGACCUUCGCCGCCUCCCUCCUCCUCCUCCUCGCCUUCACCGCCACCGCCAUCAUCGGGUGCGCGGUGCUGUACGACGGGCAGGCCAAGCUAGACGGCAGCACGUCGGCGACGCUGCGGUACGUGGUGCGCCAGUCGGACAGCCCGGCGGCCUGCCUGCGGGGGUUCGCCGGGUUCAUCGAGACGGCCAAGGCGUCCGGCGGCGCCGGCAUGCCGCGCGACCUCGGGGUCAAGGUCGACCAGGUGGCGAACAGGGUGGGCGCCGCGGCCGACGAGCUCGCCGUGCGCACCGCCAGCAACGCGCGCAAGAUCCGGACCGUGCUGGACACCACAAGGAAGAUCCUGAUCGGCGUCGCAGCCGUGAUGCUGGUGCUGGCGUUCCUGGGCCUUGUAACUGACAGAGGAACGUCUGCUCAUGUGUCUUUCAGCACGGUGGGCGACACGUGCGUGGCCAUGGAGGAAUGGGUCCUCCGCCCGCCGGACAGCAACAACAGCAUCGCCCUGGACGACAUCCUCCCGUGCGCCGACGCGGCGGCGACCUCGGAGGCGCUGCGCCGGAGCAAGGAGGUGAACCACCAGCUGGUGGCCACCCUCAACGACAUGCUCGCCAACGUCUCCAACGCCAACGCCUGCCCGCCGGGCUCUGGCCCGCCUCUCAACUACAACCAGUUGGGCCCGCCGGUGCCGCUCCUCUGCAGCCCCUACCGCACCGACCUGUCCUACCGCCCCUGCGCCGCCAGCGAGGUGCCGGGCGCCUUCGCGCCGCAGGCGUGGUGGGGCCACGUGUGCCAGGUGGCGGGCGCGCCGGGCCCGGAGACGUGCGCGACCCCCGGGCGGCUCACGCCGUCGAUGAACGCCCAGGCGCCGGCCGUGGCGAACGCCAGCGCGGGGCUGGUUGGGUACGGGCCGGUGCUGGCGGACUGCGGCGCGGCGGAGCCGGCGCACAAGGAGGACCCGAGGAGGACGGCGAGGAGUAGGAGGAGCGCGCGCCUGCGAGACGAACCCAUGGCUGGCUGA